rnacentral:lncRNA from 1 species
ACUCAGUUUUCUUAUUCCAGUACCAGCAAAUUGCCUCCCGGGUCGUCGCACACCGUAUUCACAGCUAUUACCCCCAACCCUAUUCUGGUGUACUUCAU